rnacentral:lncRNA from 1 species
GUUUCAAUAGUGUCAAGAACAUGUGCUAUGUGUGCAAGAUGAUUACUUUCAUAAGUUAUUUUUAUGACCUUAAGCUCCAAAUCCCUAAACCAUAUGUAAACACCUCUUAAACUCCAAAUCGAACAUAUUCAACCUUCUAACCUCAUCAACUUCGUCACAUUGGAUAAUCGGAAAGCAUAUGCAAAUUUGUGAGUUGAGGAUGAUGAUGCUAUGAAAAGA